GUUUUUUCUCUUUCUAUCCGAACGGCUUUAUUCUACUCUCAUUGCUCACAGCUCUCUUUCGGUGCUCUCUCUGUUCAAUAUCUGAAUGACUCUCUCUCAUUGGUCUCGCUCUCUCUGCUCUCUUCGUCUUGUCCCUUUGCUCUGUUGCACCAUUGCCCAGAGCUUGGCUCAACUGCACCACCCACAAGUUUCUAGUGGUUCCUUCAGCAACGACAGCCUCUUCUCUCGCCCAAUACUCUAUUUUGUGCGGCUGUUUGAAAACCCUAGAAAAUGUGAUUUUGUGCAAGCCACUUGUUUUGGUUUCACAAAUUAUUUUGUGCGAUUUUCCCUGAUUUCGUGCUACCCUAAAAAUUUUUAGGGUUUUUUUUUAUGUGAUUUCCCUUGAUAUUCAACAUGCAAUAGCCUCUUCUCUCGAUUUUUUUAUUUUUUAUUUUUUAUUUCCCCUAAUCUUGUACGUGCCUUUAAACUAGACUCUUUUUUUUUUUUUUUGUGGGCUAGAGAAUUUAAUACUGAAGAAGAGAAAUUUUUGGGAUAAGAUGAGGGAAAGAGAAUGCUAGUUGUUUGUAUCCUGAUCAUCUUAGCAAAGAGGCUCACAUGUAAUUUUAUCAGGAAAUGAGUCCCGCGGCCAACACUGCUACUGUGGGUCUAAUGUUGGUUCGCACACUUUCUGAAUGUCUAUAAACAUUUACUACCUAAAUGUCUGUAAUUUGGAACUUAAAUACACAUCACUUUUUCAUUUAGACUUGCACCAUUGACCUACUCUAUACAAAAAGUCUGAAAUAUUAACCAGAAACCUAGUGUGCAAGUGAAAUACAAAAAAAAAAAAAUUAAAUUAAAUUAGCAGGUAUGCAAUCAUGUUUAUAUAUGCAUUUAGACUAAAUGCACAACUUGUUUAUGUAUGCCUUUAGACUAGAUGUACACAAAUAAAAGGUAGGCACAUUUAUGUAUGCCUUAAGACCAUAUGAACAUCACUUGCCAAACAAAAUAUAAUCUCUAGAGAUAUUCAACAUGCAGUAGUCAUAUAUUUUGUUUUAUAAUCUCUAAAGAUAUUCAGCAUGCAAUAGCCAUAUCAUCUCCCAUGUGCACUGCAUACAUACUUUUCCCCAUGUGCUGUUUUAGUAACAUUUUAUCUUUCAAUAUUUUGUUAAAUGAUGAACUGUUUAAUUGAUGAGAAUCACUUCUUCACCACACUGUUGGAAAGUGGUGAAGGUGAUAUUAACAACCCCCUAUUGGUAGUGCAAGAUUUGAUAUCCAAUCGACACAACCCCAACGCAUAAAAAGGAAACAAAAUUCUAACGGGAUGUGUCAUUUACUAUAGAAGAAGAUACUCUCCUCAUUUCAGCUUGACUUAACAUUAAUAUAAACUCUAUACGAGGGACUAACCAAUCAUUCACACAAAUAUAUAGUAGAAUUUAUGAGUACCAUUCCACAUAUAAAAAACCUAAUUGUCAAUAACGGUCUAUAUCCUCUUUGACCAAUCGGUAGUCAAUUAUUCAAAAAUGAGUCAAUAAAUUUUGUGGUAGCGAAGCCCAAGUUGAAGGAAUGCAUCCAAUCGAUGCAACCAAGCAAGAUAAGAUUGAUAAAGCAAAAAUCUUGUACCAAAAGAACCAAAGACAUAACUUUACCAUGGAUCAUUGUUGAAAUCUAUUGAGGCACCGACUGAAAUGGCAAGCACACAUAGACCUCAUAAAAAAGAAAAAUGGGUCAAGUUCAGGUAUUACUCCAAACUCAAUACUUUUAGGAUAAAACAUGGGAAAUGUGACCGUCGAUUGUGAGAGACCUCCGGGCAAGAAGAUUGAAAAAGCAAGAGAAAAAGAAAGAAAAUGUAAUAAAAGAUAAAAUAUAGUAAUUAAGGAAGCCUUAGGCCAAAUGACAGAAGAUAUGAGGACUUGAAUGAUGGAGAGAAGAGAAUCACAAUUGAAAUAUGAGAAUGAAAUAUUUGAGUUACUACUUCUUAACAAGAGAAAACUUGAUUUGGAAAUUAUGAACAAGAAUAAUGGUUCCAUGAAUGGUGUGCAGCAAGAGUAUUUCCAUAAUUUUCAAAUGAAGAUCAUUGAGGAACAAAGAAAUAAAGUCAUAUCUCGUACAUAGUUUGGAAUGUAGUGACAUAUUUUGGAUAUUUUGUAAUUGUUUAUACUGUGGUGACAUAUUUUGGAUUUUUUUGUACUGCUGAUUGCACCAAAUUCUAUCAUUUUUUUGUACUACUGGUUGUUAUCAAUGACAUGGAAACUAUUAGGAACUGUUGUGGAGCUGGUGGUUGCUAUUGUAAAGCUGCUAUGUCCAACUUUAUGUAGCUCAAGUUAUAUUAAAAUCAACUUUAUAGAUAUUCUAUUAAGUUGAUUUUGAUACAUGUGAUUUAUUUAAAUCCAGCUCUCUUUCUUUUGGUUGGAAGUUUUUUUUUUCUUUUUUCUUUCACAGCAAGUUAACUACUUCAUUAGAAAAAGAAGAAUACAUAGUCUGUUGUAAGAAAAUAUUACAAGUCAGGGUAAAGGGGAGUGGUAGAUUUCUUUUGGUUGGAAGUUGAAUUUAUAUGGAAUUUAUUUUGGUUGGCAGUUGAAUUUAUAUGGGAUUACAUUGUAUUAAGUUGUAAAUUUGUAUAAAAUUAAAAAUCAGAUUUAUGAAAUUAGAAAUCGCAUUGCAUGAAA